rnacentral:rRNA from 1 species
UACGUAGGGUGCAAGCGUUGCCCGGAUUUAUUGGGCGUAAAGGGCGCGUAGGCGGCCUGCUAAGUCACACGUGAAAUCCCUCGGCUCAACCGGGGAACUGCGUGUGAUACUGGCGGGCUUGAAUUCGGGAGAGGGAUGUGGAAUUCCAGGUGUAGCGGUGAAAUGCGUAGAUAUCGGGAGGAACACCAGUGGCGAAGGCGACUUCCUGGCCUGUUCUUGACGCUGAGGCGCGAAAGCUAGGGUAGCAAACGGG